UACGUAGGGUGCAAGCGUUGUCCGGAAUUAUUGGGCGUAAAGAGCUCGUAGGCGGUUUGUUGCGUCGGCUGUGAAAACCUGAGGCUCAACCUCAGGCCUGCAGUCGAUACGAGCAGACUAGAGUGUGGCAGGGGAGACUGGAAUUCCUGGUGUAGCGGUGAAAUGCGCAGAUAUCAGGAGGAACACCGGUGGCGAAGGCGGGUCUCUGGGCAACAACUGACGCUGAGGAGCGAAAGCGUGGGGAGCGAACAGG
rnacentral:rRNA from 1 species